CCCUUAGACGUUCUGGGCCGCACGCGCGCUACACUGACCAGUGCAACAAGCAUCCGUCCUUGGCCGACAGGCCCGGGCAAUCUUUGAACGCUGGUCGUGAUGGGGAUAGACUUUUGCAAUUUUUGGUCUUCAACGAGGAAUUCCUAGUAAACGCAAGUCAUCAACUUGCAUUGAUUACGUCCCUGCCCUUUGUACACACCACCCGUCGCACCUACCGAUUGAAUGGUCCGGUGAAGCCUCCGGAUUGGCGCGCACCUCGGUGCCGCCGAGAAGUUGGCUAAACCUUACCAUUUAGAGGAAGGUGAAGUCGUANCA
rnacentral:rRNA from 1 species